rnacentral:lncRNA from 1 species
GUGACUGAGGAAAAGGUGGUGGUAGCAUGUUGUCACUUUAAGUUGAUAAUGCAGUUUUUAUUUGCUUUUCCUAUCAGUGAUAAUUUUUCCUGUAGCAACAUUUCUCCCUUGCUCCUGGAAGUGAAGAUGACAGCAUUAGAAAGAGUUCCUUUUAAUUGCAGACUUAGUAAUCAAAGUCAAUUUAUGAAGAUUUCAGUAUUGUUUUCUAGGCCUUUUAGAGGUGGCUUUUACUUAAAGUUUAUAGUGAUUAUGUCCCAGACACAGUGCUAAACUAUAUGCAGGCACCGCUGGGUACUGAUUUCUCUGCUUUUCUUUAUAUUUCUAUCCAGCUUGCUGUGUAUCUUCUCCUGUCCUCAAGGAACGUAUUAACUCUUAAAGAAAAGGGGGGGAAUAAAAAGCCUAUACAGCACCAUGAGUAGAAAGUUUGAUAUAUGAUAAAAAAUAUAUAUUUGAAAAACACAUCAAACGAGAGAUGCAGAAUUCCUUUAGAAGAAUCAUUCAUGACAGGUGCGGGACAUUUGGCCCUGACAGAAGACACAACGAAUAACCCUUCAAGAUUUGCCUUCUUCCUCUUUUUGACUCUGGUAGGCUGGCUGAAAACGUGCGGAACCGAAAGUGAAGAGGGUAGAAGAGGAGCCACUUGUAAGGAAUAUGGGAGAGACCAAGAGUGACUGCUAGAGGUGAGAGGAAAAAAUGCUGAGCAGUGCCACAUAAUUGUUGUCAAGAUGAUGGAAAAUAAAAAAUAACGUCAGCUGCA